GCAAACUUGGUCAUUUAGAGGAAGUAAAAGUCGUAACAAGGUUUCCGUAGGUGAACCUGCGGAAGGAUCAUUAACAAAAUUAUCCAUUAUGGAUGGUUAAAAAUCCAUAUCCACCUUCGUGUGCACAUCAUUGACAUGUUUGCUUUGGCAGUUUGAAUUUUUGCGGGGAAAAAAAGUGUGUGUGUGUGGAGGGGGGGAGUUUUUGUUUCCCCCUCCCCUGCUUCUUUUUUUUACCGACGCUGCCAGAGUUUUUUCCAUCUUUUUCACCUUGACAAACUUUUGCUUUCCUUCUUGGAAGCAAGUCCUUGAAAAGAAAUUCAAAUAAAAUUCGAAUACAACUUUCAACAACGGAUCUCUUGGCUCUCGCAUCGAUGAAGAACGCAGC
rnacentral:misc_RNA from 1 species